GUGUGGUUUUAUUGGAUGAUACGCGAAGUACCUUACCUGGGUUUGACACGUAGGUAGUAGCAAAGCGUAAGCGGCGCGACCCUUCGGGGAGCGUACACAGGUGCUGCAUGGCCGUCGUCAGCUCCUAUCGUGACGAUGACGCGGCUAAGUCCCGCAACGAGCGCAACCCUUGUCGUUAGUUAUGUGUGUCUAGCGAGACUGCCGGUUUCAAACCGGAGGAAGGUGGGGAUGACGUCAAGUCAGCAUGGUCUUUAUGUCCAGGGCUACACACACGCGACAAUGGUCGGUACAGUGGGUUGCCACACCGCGAGGUGGAGCUAAUCCUCAAAGCCGGCCUCAGUUCGGAUUGCAGUCUGCAACUCGACUGCAUGAAGUCGGAGUUGCUAGUAACCGCGCGUCAGCAAUAGUCCGGUGUAUGCGUUCCCGGGCCUUGUACACACCGCCCGUCACAUCAUGGAAGUCGGUUACACUCUGAAGUCGGUGACCCCACCGUAAGGAGGGAACUG
rnacentral:rRNA from 1 species